rnacentral:rRNA from 1 species
GACGAACGCUGGCGGCGCGCCUAACACAUGCAAGUCGAACGAGCGAGAGAGAGCUUGCUUUCUCGAGCGAGUGGCGAACGGGUGAGUAACGCGUGAGGAACCUGCCUCAAAGAGGGGGACAACAGUUGGAAACGACUGCUAAUACCGCAUAAGCCCACGGGUCGGCAUCGACCAGAGGGAAAAGGAGCAAUCCGCUUUGAGAUGGCCUCGCGUCCGAUUAGCUAGUUGGUGAGGUAACGGCCCACCAAGGCGACGAUCGGUAGCCGGACUGAGAGGUUGAACGGCCACAUUGGGACUGAGACACGGCCCAGACUCCUACGGGAGGCAGCAGUGGGGAAUAUUGCACAAUGGGGGAAACCCUGAUGCAGCGACGCCGCGUGGAGGAAGAAGGUCUUCGGAUUGUAAACUCCUGU